CAGGGUCUUCACGGCUUUACAAUUGUAACUCUGCAAAAUACCAAGAAGGUUGAGACUGUCCAAAAGGAUAAUAUCACAGGAGAAGCAAAGAGCAGAAUGAAUGAGCUGCUGCCCUCGUUACUGUGAUUCUUCUGAACUGCCUCUGCCUUUUCACACCUUCAUCACUUGGGUGGCAACAGCUCCCCCCCCAUACCCAGAAUUUUUCACACACAGACUCUCUGAAGCCAGACAAACUCCAAGACUAAGCAACUUGCACCAUGUGAUCUCAGCAUGAGCAGCUGAAAUGAGUCCUACCUGUGAAAGUGUAUUAUUAGAAGAAUGUUCUGCUAUUACUCCUUUAACUCUUAGAUAAAUGCAAACUUAAACCAGUAUGAUGUCUAAAUCAUUUCUCAGUUUUGGAUGCUUCUGUGCAUCCUACACAGUGUAAUACUAUGGUAUACACAGUAUUAAGACCAUAGCCAAAAGUUUUACUGAAUUAAACAGUGUUGUGUUCACAAAACUUUUGUGGUUUUAAAGUUUUAGGACACUUCUGUUUCUCAAGUGUCUGUUGAAGAGAUAAAUGUCAAUGUACAAUUUCAUGAAUUAAAUAAAAAAUAAUAAAAGAAAAAAAAAGUAGUUUAA